rnacentral:rRNA from 1 species
GAACGCUAGCGGCGUGCCUAAUGCAUGCAAGUCGAACGGGAACCUUUGGACUCGUCUGAAGGUGAGAGUGGCGAACGGGUGAGUAACACGUUGGUGACCUACCCCAGAGAGGGGAAUAACUAUUGGAAACGAUAGCUAAUACCCCAGAUGUCAUUACUGUUAGAGGGUAAUGACUAAAAGCUCCGGCGCUCUGGGAGGGGCCUGCGGCCCAUCAGCUAGUUGGUAAGGUAACGGCUUACCAAGGCAGAGACGGGUAGGGGGCGUGAGAGCGUGACCCCCCACACUGGUACUGACACACGGACCAGAUACCUACGGGUAGCAGCAGCAAGGAAUAUUGCCCAAUGGACGAAAGUCUGAGGCAGCAACGCCGCGUGGAGGAUGAAGGCCUUCGGGUUGUAAACUCCUUUUCUGGGGGAAGAGAACGGACGGUACCCCAGGAAUAAGUCUCGGCUAACUACGUGCCAGCAGCCGCGGUAAAACGUAGGAGGCGAGCGUUAUCCGGAUUUACUGGGCGUAAAGCGCGUGUAGGCGGUUUUCUAAGUCGGACGUGAAAGCUCCCGGCUCAACUGGGAGAGGUCGUUCGAAACUAGGAAACUUGAGGAUGGUAGAGGAGAGUGGAAUUCCCGGUGUAGUGGUGAAAUGCGUAGAUAUCGGGAGGAACACCAGUGGCGAAGGCGGCUCUCUGGGCCAUUCCUGACGCUAAGACGCGAAAGCUAGGGGAGAGAACGGGAUUAGAAACCCCGGUAUUCCUAGCUGUAAACGAUGUCAACUAGGUG